rnacentral:rRNA from 1 species
GACGUAGGGCGCGAGCGUUGUCCGGAUUUAUUGGGCGUAAAGAGCUCGUAGGCGGCUUGUUGCGUCAGCUGUGAAAACCCGCAGCUCAACUGUGGGCUUGCAGCUGAUACGGGCAGACUAGAGUGCGGUAGGGAGAUUGGAAUUUCCUGGUGUAGCGGUGGAAAUGCGCAGAUAUCAGGAGGAACACCGAUGGCGAAGGCAGGUCUCUGGGCCACUACUGACGCUGAGAAGCGAAAGCAUGGGAGCGAACAGG